AUUGAACGCUGGCGGCAGGCCUAACACAUGCAAGUCGAGCGGGGUUUUCGGACCUAGCGGCGGACGGGUGAGUAAUGCGUAGGAAGCUGCCCGAUAGAGGGGGAUACCAGUUGGAAACGACUGUUAAUACCGCAUAAUGUCUACGGACCAAAGUGUGGGACCUUCGGGCCACAUGCUAUCGGAUGCGCCUACGUGGGAUUAGCUAGUUGGUGAGGUAAUGGCUCACCAAGGCGACGAUCUCUAGCUGGUUUGAGAGGAUGAUCAGCCACACUGGAACUGAGACACGGUCCAGACUCCUACGGGAGGCAGCAGUGGGGAAUAUUGGACAAUGGGCGCAAGGCUGAUCCAGCCAUGCCGCGUGUGUGAAGAAGGCCUUCGGGUUGUAAAGCACCUUCAGCGAGGAGGAAGGGGUUGUAGUUAAUAGCUGCAACCUUUGACGUUACUCGCAGAAGAAGCACCGGCUAACUCUGUGCCAGCCGCCGCGGUAAUAC
rnacentral:rRNA from 1 species